rnacentral:rRNA from 1 species
GGUCUAAUACCGGAUACGACCGUCGGACGCAUGUCUGGUGGUGGAAAGUUUUUUCGGUUGGGGAUGGGCUCGCGGCCUAUCAGUUUGUUGGUGAGGUAAUGGCUCACCAAGACGACGACGGGUAGCCGGCCUGAGAGGGCGACCGGCCACACUGGGACUGAGACACGGCCCAGACUCCUACGGGAGGCAGCAGUGGGGAAUAUUGCACAAUGGGGGAAACCCUGAUGCAGCGACGCAGCGUGCGGGAUGACGGCCUUCGGGUUGUAAACCGCUUUCAGCAGGGAAGAAGCGCAAGUGACGGUA